rnacentral:misc_RNA from 1 species
GUGAGCUCAACAGAGGACCAAGAGCUGGAUGCUUGAAAAAUCCGAAGGCUGUUGGACCAAAUGUCACAAUUGCAGUGAAGGGACAGAACCUAUCCUCAACGCCCAAUGAGGAUGUUAGUGCAGUACUCCCAGACAAGGAGCAGUAUAACAGUGAAGACUUCCCUGAAAAAUAUACAAAUGCAAAGUUCUAUAUCAUCAAAUCAUACAGCGAGGAUGACGUUCAUAAAAGUAUCAAGUAUGGUG